rnacentral:rRNA from 1 species
AGAGUUUGAUUAUGGCUCAGGAUGAACGCUGGCGGCGUGCUUAACACAUGCAAGUCGAACGAGGUCCAACCUUCGGGUGAAGACCGAGUGGCGAACGGGUGAGUAACACGUGGGGAACCUGCCCUUCUCUCUGGGAUAACCUCGGGAAACCGAAGCUAAUACCGGAUACUCCUUGCGGACCGCAUGGUCUGCUCGGGAAAGCUCCGGCGGAGAAGGAUGGCCCCGCGGCCCAUUAGCUUGUUGGUGGGGUAACGGCCCACCAAGGCGACGAUGGGUAGCCGAGCUGAGAGGCUGAUCGGCCACACUGGGACUGAGACACGGCCCAGACUCCUACGGGAGGCAGCAGUGGGGAAUCUUGCGCAAUGGGCGAAAGCCUGACGCAGCAACGCCGCGUGCGGGAUGAAGGCUCUCGGGUCGUAAACCGCUUUCAGCAGGGAUGAAAAUGACAGUACCUGCAGAAGAAGCCCCGGCCAAAUACGUGCCAGCAGCCGCGGUAAUACGUAUGGGGCAAGCGUUAUCCGGAUUCAUUGGGCGUAAAGCGCGCGUAGGCGGCUUGUUAAGUCAGGCGUGAAAUCCGGGGGCUCAACCCGCGGCUUGCGUCUGAAACUGGCAGGCUUGAGUCUGGUAGAGGAAAGUGGAAUUCCUGGUGUAGCGGUGAAAUGCGCAGAUAUCAGGAGGAACACCAGUGGCGAAGGCGGCUUUCUGGGCCACGACUGACGCUGAGACGCGAAGGUGCGGGGAGCAAACAGGAUUAGAUACCCUGGUAGUC